GAUGAACGCUGGCGGCGUGCCUAAUACAUGCAAGUCGAGCGAACGGACGAGAAGCUUUCUUCUCUGAUGUUAGCGGCGGACGGGUGAGUAACACGUGGAUAACCUACCUAUUAGACUGGGAUAACUUCGGGAAACCGGAGCUAAUACCGGAUAAUAUUUUGAACCGCAUGGUUCAAAAGAGAAAGACGGUUUUGCUGUCACUUAUAGAUGGAUCCGCGCUGCAUUAGCUAGUUGGUAAGGUAACGGCUCACCAAGGCAACGAUGCAUAGCCGACCUGAGAGGGUGAUCGGCCACACUGGAACUGAGACACGGUCCAGACUCCUACGGGAGGCAGCAGUAGGGAAUCUUCCGCAAUGGGCGCAAGCCUGACGGAGCAACACCGCGUGAGUGAUGAAGGUCUUCGGAUUGUAAAACUCUGUUGUUAGGGAAGAAAAUAUGUGUGAGUAACUGUGCACAUCUUGACGGUACCUAAACAAAAAGCCACGGCUAACUACGUG
rnacentral:rRNA from 1 species